rnacentral:misc_RNA from 1 species
GAUGAAGAACGCAGCGAAAUGCGAUAAGUAAUGCGAAUUGCAGAAUUUCCGUGAGUCAUCGAAUCUUUGAACGCACAUUGCGCCCGCCAGUAUUCUGGCGGGCAUGCCUGUCCGAGCGUCAUUUCAACCCUCGAGCCCCCCCGGGGGCUCGGCGUUGGGGAUCGGCCCCUCACCGGGCCGGCCCCGAAAUACAGUGGCGGUCUCGCCGCAGCCUCCCCUGCGCAGUAGUUUGCACACUCGCACCGGGAGCGCGGCGCGUCCACGGCCGUAAAACAACCCAAACUUCUGAAAGGUUGACCUCGGAUCAGGUAGGAAUACCCGCUGAACUUAAGCAUAUCAAUAAGCGGAGGA